GUCAUGGGUCACGUGAUUGGCAGAUUUCACUAGAGCCUGGAUUAGCUGCUGCUAAUGUCCACUCACUUUGCUUGCCCUUGCCAAAUAGUCUCUUGAUCACUGAUUGUUCCCCAAGCAAGGCAGCGUGUAGAAGAAAAUGAGAGAAGAAGGGGGUGAGAAGCAGCGUUCCCGGUAUCUGAACAGCUGUCAUGGAUGUGAAACUCCUUGUGAGCGCUGAUGUACUACAGAGGAAAAGGGAGAGGGCCUGAGACACAGCUAUCUCCUCAGAGAGAAGCCGCGGAGUUAGUUUGGACCCUGUUCCUUUCGCCUGAUCCUCAGAGCAUCAGGAAGACUCACCUGGGACAGAGCCUGCAGGUUCGGCCUUCUGCGGGGUACUGGCCUGGCUGCCUAUACAAGGAGCUUCAGCUUGUUCUGUGUGGAUGCCUUCUUUCUGGCUAGGAGUCUCAUGCCCUAAAAGAGAAGAGGAUGCCCCAAGGACUCCAAAAACAUCACAUAUGAAAAGCAAACCCCAUUGGUUCUAGGAGGCAAGCCUGAACUUCCCAAAGAUCUCUGUCCUACAUCAUACCAGCAAAGGCAGAUUCCCGGUAGCCAGAGCAGGCGCUAAGGGUGGACAGGAGCCAUAAUUGUAAGGAAUUUCUGGACUACGUGUUUUAUAAACUCCAAGGCAAAACAUGUGAGGAAAGAGAAUGGGAAGGAGCCAGGCUAGAUCUCACCUUAGGCAUUCCUGCCUCGGCCUACCUGCAGCCGCUUGGUCCCUCUCACUGUGCUGUUAUCACCCCUAUAGCACUUUCUGUCUUCUAAGGUGGCUUGCAAUUUGUAGCAUGCUUACAUUUCUUGUUGGCCGACUGCUGCCCAUUGUAAGAUUAGGCUCCUCACAGGGAAGGGCCUAGGUCUAUUUAGUGCCUAAGGUUUUCCAACCGUCCGGAGUAGCUUCCAGCAGAGUACGCGCUUAACAGAUGGCUUGUGGAAGAAGGAAUAUUCUCUCCAGAGCCACGCUCCAUGGUACCCACUUACCUGAGCAGGAGUGCAGUGUGCUCGCUCCUCUGGAUGACAUCUUCUCCUGGGCAUUACUGAACCCAUCCCUGGGCUCACUCUGGGGAGCCAUCUCUGGCUGUCCCACUGAGAAUCCUGUUAUAGGCAGAGUGAAGCUUCAGAGUGAAUCCUGUUAUAGGCAGAAGUUCAAGUGAAGCUUCUAGUAUUGAACUGGUACCAGACAUGGAGCAUUUUCCCAGCCGGUCUGGGAAGAAAGGUACCUCUUGUCUGUAUGGAUAAAGGACUGCCCAAGCUCCCCAGCAGUCUGGCCAGGUAUUAAGCUCAGCCCUUUUAAUCGAGGGGAGAAAAAAGAAAAGAAAUUGGAUAGUUUGAAAUAGGAAAAAAAAAGAAGAGGAAGAAGAAUUCCAGUGCUGGGGGGUGGGGUGGGAGGUGGCUCAGUGGGUAAAGGUACUUGCUCUGUGCCUAAUGAUCUGCAUUUGGUUCAAAACCCACAUGGUAGCAGAUAACUCAAAAAAAAAAAAAAAAAAAAAACUGUUCUCUCACCUCCACACAUGAGGCAGACAUAAUAAACACAAUAAAUAAAUAUGUAAGUGCAA